CCUACGGGAGGCUGCAGUAGGGAAUCUUCGUCAAUGGGCGAAAGCCUGAACGAGCAAUGCCGCGUGAACGAGGAAGGUCUUCGGAUCGUAAAACUCUGUUGAUGGAGAAAAAGGACGGAGAGAGUAAAUGUUUUCUGAUUGACGUUAUCCUUCGAGGAAGUCACGGCUAACUACGUGCCAGCAGCCGCGGUAAUACGUAGGUGGCGAGCGUUAUCCGGAAGGAUUGGGCGUAAAGGGGGCGUAGGCGGCCUUGUAAGUCUGGGGUGAAAGGUUGCGGCCUAACCGGUAAAGUGUAUUGGAAACUGGCAGGCUUGAGAGCAGGAGAGGGAGGUGGAACUCCAGGUGUAGCGGUGAAAUGCGUAGAUAUAUGGAAGAACACCAGUGGCGAAGGCGGCCGACUGGCCUGUUACUGACGCUGAGGCUCGAAAGCGUGGGGAGCAAAUAGGAUUAGAUACCCUAGUAGUC
rnacentral:rRNA from 1 species